AUCCAUCUGACGAGUCCCAAAUAGGGUCAGACGCGCGUCCUGGAU
rnacentral:hammerhead_ribozyme from 1 species